rnacentral:rRNA from 1 species
AUUGAACGCUGGCGGCAGGCCUAACACAUGCAAGUCGAGCGGAUGAAGGGAGCGUGCGCCUGGAUGCAGCGGGGGACGGGUGGGUAAGGCAUAGGAGGCUGCCUGAUAGAGGGGGAUAACGUCCGUAAACGGGCGCGAAGACCGCAUACGACCUUAGGUAGAAAGGGGGGGAUCAUCGGAGCUCACGGGAUCAGAUGAGACUACGCGGUAUUAGCUAGUUGGUGGGGUAAAGGCUUACCAAGGCGACGAUCCGUAACAGGGCUGAGAGGAUGAUCAGCCACACUGGAACUGAGACACGGUCCAGACUCCUACGGGAGGCAGCAGUGGGGAAUCUUCGACAAAGGGCGAAAGCCUGACGCAGCAACGCCGCGUGUGUGAUGAAGGUCUUCGGAUUGUAAAGCUCUUUUAGUUGGGAGGAACGUAAGUAUGUGUAUCUCUUCCUGUCUUGACGGUACCUACUCAGAAAGCACCGGCUAACUUCGUG